rnacentral:rRNA from 1 species
GUAAGGAAUAUUGGUCAAUGGACGCAAGUCUGAACCAGCCAUGCCGCGUGCAGGAUGACUGCCCUAUGGGUUGUAAACUGCUUUUGUAUGGGAAGAAACUCCCGAUUUCUAUCGGGACUGACGGUACCAUACGAAUAAGCACCGGCUAACUCCGUGCCAGCAGCCGCGGUAAUACGGAGGGUGCAAGCGUUAUCCGGAUUCAUUGGGUUUAAAGGGUGCGCAGGCGGAAUGGUAAGUCAGUGGUGAAAUCCUACAGCUUAACUGUAGAACUGCCGUUGAUACUGUCAUUCUUGAGUACAUUUGAAGUGGGCGGAAUGUAUCAUGUAGCGGUGAAAUGCAUAGAUAUGAUACAGAACACCGAUAGCGAAAGCAGCUCACUAAACUGUAACUGACGCUCAUGCACGAAAGCGUGGGGAGCAAACAGGAUUAGAUACCCUAGUAGUCC